rnacentral:misc_RNA from 1 species
GAUGAAGAGCGCAGUGAAAUGCGAUAAGUAAUGUGAAUUGCAGAAUUCAGUGAAUCAUCGAAUCUUUGAACGCACCUUGCGCUCCUUGGUAUUCCGAGGAGCAUGCCUGUUUGAGUGUCAUGAAAUUCUCAACCUUUCUGGCUUUUGCUAGUCAGGCUUGGAUUAUGGGAGCUGCUGGCUUUUGAAGUCGGCUCUUCUAAAAUGUAUUAGCAAGAUCAUUGCUGCUCAUCAUUGGUAUGAUAAUUAUCUAUAUCAUUGAGAGUCAGUUUCCUUUAUUGGAAGAUUUUGCUCCUAACGGUCUUUAGCAAGACAACAUUUGACGAUUUUGACCUCAAAUCAGGUAGGACUACCCGCUGAACUUAAGCAUAUCAAUAAGCGGAGGA